GAUGAACGCUGGCGGCGUGCCUAAUACAUGCAAGUCGAGCGAACGGACGAGAAGCUUGCUUCUCUGAUGUUAGCGGCGGACGGGUGGGUAACACGUGGAUAACCUACCUAUAAGACUGGGAUAACUUCGGGAAACCGGAGCUAAUACCGGAUAAUAUUUUGAACCGCAUGGUUCAAAAGUGAAAGACGGUCUUGCUGUCACUUAUAGAUGGAUCCGCGCUGCAUUAGCUAGUUGGUAAGGUAACGGCUUACCAAGGCAACGAUGCAUAGCCGACCUGAGAGGGUGAUCGGCCACACUGGAACUGAGACACGGUCCAGACUCCUACGGGAGGCAGCAGUAGGGAAUCUUCCGCAAUGGGCGAAAGCCUGACGGAGCAACGCCGCGUGAGUGAUGAAGGUCUUCGGAUCGUAAAACUCUGUUAUUAGGGAAGAACAUAUGUGUAAGUAACUGUGCACAUCUUGACGGUACCUAAUCAGAAAGCCACGGCUAACUACGUGCCAGCAGCCGCGGUAAUACGUAGGUGGCAAGCGUUAUCCGGAAUUAUUGGGCGUAAAGCGCGCGUAGGCGGUUUUUUAAGUCUGAUGUGAAAGCCCACGGCUCAACCGUGGAGGGUCAUUGGAAACUGGAAAACUUGAGUGCAGAAGAGGAAAGUGGAAUUCCAUGUGUAGCGGUGAAAUGCGCAGAGAUAUGGAGGAACACCAGUGGCGAAGGCGACUUUCUGGUCUGUAACUGACGCUGAUGUGCGAAAGCGUGGGGAUCAAACAGGAUUAGAUACCCUGGUAGUCCACGCCGUAAACGAUGAGUGCUAAGUGUUAGGGGGUUUCCGCCCCUUAGUGCUGCAGCUAACGCAUUAAGCACUCCGCCUGGGGAGUACGACCGCAAGGUUGAAACUCAAAGGAAUUGACGGGGACCCGCACAAGCGGUGGAGCAUGUGGUUUAAUUCGAAGCAACGCGAAGAACCUUACCAAAUCUUGACAUCCUUUGACAACUCUAGAGAUAGAGCUUUCCCCUUCGGGGGACAAAGUGACAGGUGGUGCAUGGUUGUCGUCAGCUCGUGUCGUGAGAUGUUGGGUUAAGUCCCGCAACGAGCGCAACCCUUAAGCUUAGUUGCCAUCAUUAAGUUGGGCACUCUAAGUUGACUGCCGGUGACAAACCGGAGGAAGGUGGGGAUGACGUCAAAUCAUCAUGCCCCUUAUGAUUUGGGCUACACACGUGCUACAAUGGACAAUACAAAGGGCAGCGAAACCGUGAGGUCAAGCAAAUCCCAUAAAGUUGUUCUCAGUUCGGAUUGUAGUCUGCAACUCGACUACAUGAAGCUGGAAUCGCUAGUAAUCGUAGAUCAGCAUGCUACGGUGAAUACGUUCCCGGGUCU
rnacentral:rRNA from 1 species